rnacentral:rRNA from 1 species
UACAAGUAGUCAGAGCCCGUUAACGGGUGAUGGCGUGCCUUUUGUAGAAUGAACCGGCGAGUUACGAUCCCGUGCAAGGUUAAGCAGAAGAUGCGGAGCCGCAGCGAAAGCGAGUCUGAAUAGGGCGAAUUGAGUACGUGGUCGUAGACCCGAAACCAGGUGAUCUACCCAUGUCCAGGGUGAAGUUCAGGUAACACUGAAUGGAGGCCCGAACCCACGCACGUUGAAAAGUGCGGGGAUGAGGUGUGGGUAGGGGUGAAAUGCCAAUCGAACCUGGAGAUAGCUGGUUCUCUCCGAAAUAGCUUUAGGGCUAGCCUCAAGGUAAGAGUCUCGGAGGUAGAGCACUGAUUGGACUAGGGGCCCCUACCGGGUUACCGAAUUCAGUCAAACUCCGAAUGCCGAUGACUUAUCCUUGGGAGUCAGACUGCGAGUGAUAAGAUCCGUAGUCGAAAGGGAAACAGCCCAGACCGCCAGCUAAGGUCCCAAAGUAUACGUUAAGUGGAAAAGGAUGUGGAGUUGCUUAGACAACCAGGAUGUUGGCUUAGAAGCAGCCACCAUUUAAAGAGUGCGUAAUAGCUCACUGGUCGAGUGACUCUGCGCCGAAAAUGUACCGGGGCUAAACGUAUCACCGAAGCUGCGGACUGUUCUUCGAACAGUGGUAGGAGAGCGUUCUAAGGGCUGUGAAGCAAGACCGGAAGGACUUGUGGAGCGCUUAGAAGUGAGAAUGCCGGUAUGAGUAGCGAAAGAGGGGUGAGAAUCCCCUCCACCGAAUGCCUAAGGUUUCCUGAGGAAGGCUCGUCCGCUCAGGGUUAGUCGGGACCUAAGCCGAGGCCGAAAGGCGUAGGCGAUGGAUAACAGGUUGAUAUUCCUGUACCACCUCCUCACCAUUUGAGCAAUGGGGGGACGCAGGAGGAUAGGGUAAGCGCGGUAUUGGAUAUCCGCGUCCAAGCAGUUAGGCUGGGAAAUAGGCAAAUCCGUUUCCCGUGAAGGCUGAGCUGUGAUGGCGAGCGAAUUAUAGUAGCGAAGUUCCUGAUUCCACACUGCCAAGAAAAGCCUCUAGCGAGGUGAGAGGUGCCCGUACCGCAAACCGACACAGGUAGGCGAGGAGAGAAUCCUAAGGUGAUCGAGAGAACUCUCGUUAAGGAACUCGGCAAAAUGACCCCGUAACUUCGGGAGAAGGGGUGCUCUGUUAGGGUG